GAGCCUUCUGAAAGGAAGAUUAAUACAAGAUGGCAUCAUGAGUCCGCAUGUUCACAUGAUUAAAGGUAUUCCGGUAGACGAUGGGGAUGCGUUCCAUUAGAUAGUAGGCGGGGUAACGGCCCACCUAGUCUUCGAUGGAUAGGGGUUCUGAGAGGAAGGUCCCCCACAUUGGAACUGAGACACGGUCCAAACUCCUACGGGAGGCAGCAUG
rnacentral:rRNA from 1 species